rnacentral:rRNA from 1 species
UAGCGAAGGGGGCUAGCGUUGCUCGGAAUCACUGGGCGUAAAGGGUGCGUAGGCGGGUCUUUAAGUCAGGGGUGAAAUCCUGGAGCUCAACUCCAGAACUGCCUUUGAUACUGAAGAUCUUGAGUUCGGGAGAGGUGAGUGGAACUGCGAGUGUAGAGGUGAAAUUCGUAGAUAUUCGCAAGAACACCAGUGGCGAAGGCGGCUCACUGGCCCGAUACUGACGCUGAGGCACGAAAGCGUGGGGAGCA